CCUACGGGAGGCAGCAGUGAGGAAUAUUGGUCAAUGGACGCAAGUCUGAACCAGCCAUGCCGCGUGCAGGAAGACGGCUCUAUGAGUUGUAAACUGCUUUUGUACGAGGGUAAACGCAGAUACGCGUAUCUGUCUGAAAGUAUCGUACGAAUAAGGAUCGGCUAACUCCGUGCCAGCAGCCGCGGUAAUACGGAGGAGUCAAGCGUUAUCCGGACUUAUUGGGUUUAAAGGGUGCGUAGGCGGUCGGAUAAGUUAGAGGUGAAAGCCCGAGGCUCAACUUCGGAAUUGCCUCUGAUACUGUUCGGCUAGAGAGUAGGUGCGGUAAGCGGAAUGUAUGGUGUAGCGGUGAAAUGCUUAGAGAUCAUACAGAACACCGAUUGCGAAGGCAGCUUACCAAGCUACUUCUGACGUUGAGGCACGAAAGCGUGGGGAGCAAACAGGAUUAGAUACCCUUGUAGUC
rnacentral:rRNA from 1 species